rnacentral:lncRNA from 1 species
GGACCAAAAUCGUAAAUGUGUAAAAAUUGGAGAGCUAGAAGAAGAUAACAAUGGCUACUACCGCUAAAUUUAUUAACCCAACCAAAAUAAAAUGCAUCUUUAUCUCCAUCUAAGACAAAUAUAAAUUUUUAAUUGUAGAACUAGAAAGUGUAAACAAAGCCACUUGAAUAUUGAAUACUAUAAUGAUAACAAAGCAAAAGGAAAAAAAAUAAAAAAAACACAUAUUCAUCAUCAUUAUGUUCUUAAUAAUACUAAUAAUAAUUCAUGAUGAACUCAACAACUAAUUACUACCCCACAAACCUAAAGUAAUUAAUACUACUAGUAUUACAUAAAACACCAUAACCUUUCACCCUCGCCGGAAUAUUCCAUCUCCGGCAACUAAAACAACCGCUUCAAACCACCGACAAANNNNN